rnacentral:rRNA from 1 species
GUGGGGAAUUUUGGACAAUGGGCGCAAGCCUGAUCCAGCCAUUCCGCGUGCAGGAUGAAGGCCUUCGGGUUGUAAACUGCUUUUGUACGGAACGAAAAGCCUCUGGUUAAUACCCGGGGGUCAUGACGGUACCGUAAGAAUAAGCACCGGCUAACUACGUGCCAGCAGCCGCGGUAAUACGUAGGGUGCGAGCGUUAAUCGGAAUUACUGGGCGUAAAGCGUGCGCAGGCGGUGAUGUAAGACAGUUGUGAAAUCCCCGGGCUCAACCUGGGAACUGCAUCUGUGACUGAAUUGCUGGAGUGCGGCAGAGGGGGAUGGAAUUCCGCGUGUAGCAGUGAAAUUCGUAGAUAUGCGGAGGAACACCGAUGGCGAAGGCAAUCCCCUGGGCCUGCACUGACGCUCAUGCACGAAAGCGUGGGGAGCAAACAGGAUUAGAAACCCCAGUAGUCC